ensembl:lncRNA
UAAUUGUUGUCCAUGUAAACGCAGCUAUUCACUGAUGCUCAAGAAGGUAACAAUGCAUUAAGAGCCUGGCUGUAAACUUUUUAACAGGAUGAUUGUGUAAAUUGUUUUGUCUUCUGGGAUACAUGUAUAUCUUAUUUAGCUUCUGAAUGGCUGUAAUAAAUGAAAAAAAUAAGAUCUUUAAACAAACUAAUAACAAUUUACACUGAUCAUCCUAUUAAAAUGUUUACACCCCCCUGGCUCUUAAUGUAUUUUCUUACCCUGAUUAGUUUCUAAUGACUGGUUAGUUUCUUGGUGUAAUGAACAGAAUCUGCUGUUUGUUAAUAACUGGAACCUGUUCUGGGAGCAUCCUAGGUUGUUUUGUCCUGAUGGCCUGCACCCCAGCAGCCUCAGAGUGGAACUGCUGUCAGACAACAUCUCCAAGGCGCUACACACCAAGUGACUGCCUACCGUGCAAGCGCGGACAAGAUCGCCGGGUGGUGAGAGUCCCACCUACGAUGGACGCCGGCCCGGGAAAACCCUCGCCCCCGUCUCAGGAAUCCCGCCUCCGCCACGAGUAGGCUACACCGGCAGUCACGCCUCCACAAGCCCCGCACUCAUCCCCUCACAACCCACUCACCUCACCCUUGCACCAAUAAAUCACCGUUUGUGAAC